UCAUCAUUUUCAAAUCAUUUUCACAUUACUAUAAAUUUGCAGGGCCAGCGUAAAAUCGAUCAUUUUUUCGUCACUGAGCAGCGUAUGUGAUGAUAUCAUGAUAAAUCAAAUUUUCGUCACAUGGAAAAUCAUGGCUAUUUCGAAUCAAAAUAAAGUCAUUUUGACUCUUUCUUGACUUCAGUGUGUUCCUUGGGUAGGAGUAUCGAUAUGUCUUGAGAUAAGCAAUGAAUCUAGUGUUACGUGCUAUGCAAGAAGACAGAUCGAUGUAUCACGAAAGGCGAUAAGGGUUAUAGAUUACCAAUAUACGGUAUGUCCGCGCAUACCUAUUGUGUGUGUGAUACAUAAAGAUUACACAUAUGCAUAAAA